AGGACGACGCUGGCGGCGUGCCUAACACAUGCAAGUCGAGCGGGGAAAACCUUCGGGGUUUUCUAGCGGCGGACGGGUGAGUAACGCGUGAGCAAUCUGUCCCAUACAGGGGGAUAACAACUGGAAACAGUUGCUAAUACCGCAGUGAGACCACAGAGCCGCAUGGUUCAGGGGUCAAAGGAGCAAUCCGGUAUGGGGUGAGCUCGCGUCCGAUUAGAUAGUUGGGUGAGGUAACGGCCCACCAAGUCAACGAUCGGUAGCCGACCUGAGAGGGUGAUCGGCCACAUUGGAACUGAGACACGGGUCCAAACUCCUACGGGAGGCAGCAGUGGGGAAUAUUGGGCAAUGGGCGAAAGCCUGACCCAGCAACGCCGCGUGAAGGAAGAAGGUUUUCGGAUUGUAAACUUCUGUCCUUGGUGACGAAGGAAGUGACGGUAGCCAAGGAGGAAGCCCCGGCUAACUACGUG
rnacentral:rRNA from 1 species